GUCCAUGGAGGACUAGUGGUUAGGCCUCUGUGCUCUCACCACCAUGGCCUGGGUUCAAUUCCCAGCCAGACA